UGAUCUUACUGUAUUCAACUUAUACACAC
rnacentral:piRNA from 1 species